AGGACUAACGCUGGCGGCGUGCCUAACACAUGCAAGUCGAACGAAGUAGCAAUACUUAGUGGCAGACGGGUGAGUAACACGUAGUCAACCUGCCCUUCAAUGGGGGAUAACUAGCCGAAAGGUUAGCUAAUACCGCAUACGAUCUCUGAGUGGCAUCACUCGGCGAUGAAAGGAGUAAUCCGUUGAAGGAGGGGGACUGCGUCCCAUUAGUUAGUUGGUGGGGUAAUGGCCUACCAAGACUCCGAUGGGUAGCUGGCUUGAGAGAGCGACCAGCCACACUGGAACUGAGACACGGUCCAGACUCCUACGGGAGGCAGCAGUGAGGAAUUUUCCGCAAUGGGGGAAACCCUGACGGAGCGACGCCGCGUGUGGGAAGAAGGGCCUUCGGGUCGUAAACCACUGGUCGAGGGGGACGAGUAUUGACGGUACCCCUGGAGGAAGCCCCGGCUAACUACGCGCCAGCAGCCGC
rnacentral:rRNA from 1 species